rnacentral:lncRNA from 1 species
UUCUAUUGGAAAUGUAUAUUAUCUAUAAAAGGUAUAGCAAAAUAGGAAGAGACACAAUUCCAACUUUGGUUAGUCGAAAUAGUUAAGUUUCAUUGAUGCUAUGUAAAAUAGCAAAAACAAUUGAAAAAGUAGUUCUAGGUGGACGUGUCUAUGCUGUAGCAAGCUGUAUCGAAAUAGGUAUGAGUGUUUAUGGAAACCACUCAUGUCCAUUAAGAACAAUUUUCAUGAAUCAGAUAGUAAGGACCCUGGGUAUUACAUUUCCAAAUUGUGCGGCAAAAGAUUAAAGAAUGUGUUAAAAAAUAACAGUUUGAAUGUGUUAAAGCACUGCUAAACAAUAAUCUCAAAAGCAUUCAAUGUCUUCGUGUAUCUUUUAUGUAUUCUUUUUACAUGCAUGACUAACAUUUCAUUUGUAAAUAAAACACUUCAACAAUAAUAUCUCAGACUCAUCUAUUGGUGAGCCAUAGUGAUGCAGAUAAAUAUGUAAUCAAGACGGUCAGAGGAGACCCAAAAUUAUGUCAAGAUACUAAGUAGGAUAUAGUCCAACCGUCUAAGGCAAAAUCAUGAAACCACAACUAAAUUAGAGAAUUAGAUGAUCAGAUCUAAAAGCAGGCACCAGAAUUCUAAUGCAAAUAUUAUUUACUUGAAGAACUUAUCUAUGCCAAGAGGACAAUUAUAGGUGGCAACAUGGAAAUAAAAUGUAGGCUGACCGAGCAAACCAGAUAUAACUAACCUUGAAUGUCUUUGCAUCUUUAUUAAGAUAAGAUCUCCAACAAUGGAAGGAAACUAUUGUUCGGGCAGAUUCAUGCAAGUUUUUAGCAUCUGGCCCAUACAAAAAAAUAACAUUUGAAGUUGUAUUUGAUAUGAAAACAAUAUGGCCAAUUGAAAAGGGCGACAGAAGCAAGGGAAAAAGGCUCUCUUAGUAUGUUGUUGGAGCUAUCCUAGUGGUAAACGAUGCUUUAGGUGCUAAACUAAUUCCUGAAAUUUCAUGCAAGAAGAAUCAGCAAGUUUUCUAGGCGGUCCAUGUUAAUGGUAAUUUUGUAUUGAAAAAGGCAUAUGGCUUUGCAGAACUAUUUCCAUCACAUGAUCAAAAUAACUUUGUCGUCGUUGUAUCAACAUCUAUUGUGUCCAAAAUGCUUCAGUCAGACUGCCCAAACACACUGAUGCUAUGCCGCUGUACCACAUUUUUACAACAACUUGAUUUUUCUCAAAAAAUUCAAGAACAUGUUUAUGAAGAUAAAGGGACAAAUAUAUGAAUUAACGCUCUAGGAGGGAAGUGGCAUAAACUAAAUAAUCUAACCACACAUAUAAUGCGAGUAAACCCCAAUAAAAACAUCAUCGGGUUUGAUGGUUAGCCGGGAACCUUGCAAAUUCCUUCCCAAAAAUAAAAUGAAAAGUCUGGUACUCUAGUUUAGUUUACCCGAGAGACCAUGCUAGUGCUAGUACCAUACAGAGUCAUACUCUUCCCAUUAUAGUGAUGGUAGAAUUAGUCUACAAAAUAAAAAAGAAUACAAGUCAAUACGUAUUUAUGAAUCAAGAGGGCAGGAUAAAACAAGCUUCAACCAUGAGUUGUGGGACUUGUUGAAUGGCUUGCACCAAUAUAUCAAUGUUGUUACACCCUACAAAAAGCAUGAAAGUUGACUUGCAUGAGCAUCAUGGAGAGGCCGUACAUAAUGACCUUGGAGGGGCUCUUCUCCGGGCACACCAUGGUUUUGGCCACAUAAACUCUAUAAUCAGAGCACCAAAUCUUAAUCACCAAAAUCUACUUCUUUUACAAACUCCAUCUGAAGGUAAUGUUUCCGCUCACCUGUUUCCUCCAUAGACUGCAACCACAUCACUACGCACGAGCGGCAGCGAGAGAAGAGAGAGGAUAGGACGGCAAGUACGUCCCGCCAUGGGAGGUGGGAUGUCAAUAUCGCCUGAAGCUGCCAUGAACACGAGGUGUCGCCAUAGAUCUCCUCGCAUGCGCAUCGCCUGACGGCUGGAUCAACC